GAGCAGCAUAAGCCAGGCUCUAUGGAAUGUUGGGUGAGCUGCUUGAGGAACUCCAAGGCCUGUCCCACAGUCUUCCAGCCUCCGACUCUCCGGCCCUCAGCGAGGUCAGCAGUGAGCUACUUUUGGAUCUGUUGGGAUCCCUGAGCCCGUGGUCCAGGGAGACUCUGAACAGGGAGAUCUUUUGUCAUGACAUGGUUGUCUCUUGUUGUGCAAGCAAGAGUCAGGGGACAAAUGACAUUGGCUUUAGCCCCCUGCCAGCAGUACCAGGGCCUCCAGGACGGGAGGGAAGGACCAGGCUGAGGCUGGCAUAUGGGAGAGAGCGUGUGUGCGCUGGCGUUUCACCUGCUAGGGCUGCCUUCUGCUGGGCUGUCCAUCUGGCACCGAAGUCCCACUGGUUUUUUUGGUUGGUUUUUUUUUUUUUUUUUAAGGUUUUUUGGUUUUUUUUUUUUUUUCUCAUUCCUGUCUUGGGAGCUUUCCCCAACCAGCAGACUGAUCGAACACACAGGCUUCUCAGCCCACUCCCUCCAGUCAAGGUUAAGGCCUGGCAAAGGUGGAGGAAGAGAAGCUGAGGAGAAAAAGGCGAGGAGAGCCUAGGCACAGGAAGGUGACCGUGAGUAGAGUUGGGUGGUCCAGGGAUGUGGCUGGGAUCCCCUCUUCCUUCUGGAGUUCUCUUAGACAGUAAGGCUGAAGAGAAGCUUGGUACAGGAACUUCGAAGGUUUCUCAAGCUGCAGGUCAUGGCUACCGCUUCCCUCCCUCCCAGUGCUGAUUUCCUGUGGACCAGAUUCCAGCACAGUGGAGGGCCAGAGCUCAGGGAACAGACCCAGCAGCACAGCAAGUCUCCAAGGAAAGCUCUAGCAGUCUCACCAAAAAGAAGACCUGACGUCAUCCUGAGCACCCCCGCCAUGCAGAGUGUGUUCGCAGACUGCCAACGGGCUGGCUCCGGCCAGCAGAAGUGAACAGAGGUGGAGGUUCAGCCUGACAGCUUCUCCCCAAAGCCAUGGAGAGAAAACCUUACCACCCCCACCGCCCAGCUACUUCCAGCAAGUUGUCCAGCCUGACCCCUCUAUUUCCCCUGUUGUCUCUUAUCUGGGUCCCUGAGACCCACCCCAUCUCCAAUAAAGAACAUUGCAUACUGUGCAUCAGUGUUGCCUUGGGUGUGCCAGGCAGGGUCGGGGGCGUGCUGGGUUCUCCAUACUAGAACACCACUACUGA
rnacentral:lncRNA from 1 species